CAACCCAACCCAACCCAAGUCAACCCAACCCAACCCAACUCAAAGUCAACCAAAGCCAACAGAAGAACAACCCAACCCAACCUGAGGUCAGUCAAGGUCAACCCAACUCAACCAAGGUCAAGCGAACUCAAGGUCAGCCAUGGUCAACCCAACCCAACCCAAAAAUCAACCAAAACUCAACCCAACGCCAGCAAGGCCAACCCAACCUGAGUCAACCCAAGGUGAAGCCAACUCAAGGUCAACACAAGGUCAACUAAAUUCAAGGUCAACCCAACCCAACCCAACUCAACUCAAGGUCAACCCAACCCAACCCAACCCAACCCAUGGUCAGCAAAGUCCAACCCAACCCAACAACCAACGCGCGCCGAGACUGGACAACCGUUGGUCAAAGUCAAGACCGACCCAACGGUCAGCCCAAGUGGACACCAAGCCAAUGGUCAAGCCAAGGCCAAACAAUGGUCAGCGAGGUCAAGGUCAACCAACCAAUGGUCAACCCAACCCAAGGUCAAGCCAUGAUCAAAGGUCACCCAAAGGUCAACUGGAGACUGACCAAUGGUCAACGAAGUCAAGAUUGACCAACCAAUGGUCAAGACCAACCCAAGAGUCACCCAAUGGUCAAGUGAAGACCAA